GUCGCUGCCCGGGCGGAGGAAGCGGCCGGAGCCGAGCCCGGCGAUGGCUGCAGCGGGGCCGGCGCAGCAGCUCCAGGUGGCGUUUGAGGACGUCGCUCUGUAUUUCACCCGGGAGGAGUGGGAGCUCCUAUCCCAGCCAGAGCAGCAGCUGUACCGGGACCAGAUGCUGAGGAAUUACUGGACCCUAAUUUCCCUGGGCUAUUCAGAUUCAACACCGAACUUAAUUCAACGGAUCGAGUUAGGGGAGGCAGAGCUAUGGAUCAGGGAGGCUGAGGACUCCAGGGAAAACUCAGGACCUGAGAGCCCCUCCUCAGCAGGGCUUGGGAUCCUGGGAGGAACGAGCACAUGGUCUGGCUGUGGCAGGAGCUUCCGCCAGUCCUCAGUCCUGAAAAUACACCCACGUACACACAAUGGAGAGCAGCUAUACUGCUGUGCUGACUACGGGAAGGGCUUUGCAUGGAGCUCAAAUGUGAGAACACACCAGCGCGCACACACUGGUGACCGUCCGCACCGCUGUGCUGACUGCACCAAGGGCUUUGCAGAGAGGUCACACCUGAGAAUACACCAACGCACACACACGGGAGAGCGGCCGUACCACUGUGCUGACUGUGACAAAGGCUUUGCAGAGAGCUCAAGCCUAAAAAGACACCAGCGCACACACACCGGUGAGCGGCCGUACCACUGUGCUGACUGCGGAAAGUGCUUUGCACAGAGCUCAAUCCUGAGAAGACACCGGCGCACACAUACCGGGGAGCGGCCGUACCACUGUGCUGACUGUGGCAAGGGCUUUGCACAGAGUUCAAGCCUGAGAAGACACCAGCGCACACACACCGGGGAGCGGCCGUACAGCUGUGCUGACUGUGGCAAGAGUUUUGCAGAGAGCUCAAACUUGAGAACACACCAACACACACACAGCGGGCAGCCACCGCACCGCUGUGAUGUUUGUAGCAAGAACUUCAGCAGCACCAAUGCACUAGCCAAACACCAGCGCACACACAGCGGGGAGAGGCCUUUCCAAUGCACUGACUGCGGCAAGAGCUUUGCAGAGAGCUCAAGCCUGAGACGACACCAGCGUGCACACACCGGGGAGCGGCCAUACAGCUGUGCUGAGUGUGGCAAGCGGUUUGGUAGAUUGGCCAACCUCAUCCGGCACCAGGUCACUCACACCAACGCCCCUCUGCCAUCGCCAGGGCCUGGGGGGCUUCUGGCAGCCAGUGGGCCUGACAUAGCACCAGCAGAUGUAGACCAGCGAGUGGUCUUGUCCCCCUGAUGACCAGCAGAGCCUGUGUGGGGCGGGGAAGGGAACUUGGCUGAGCACUGUGGGGAAGAGCAGACCGGUCCGGGUAGUAAUUUAGAGAUUGUCACAGCCUACUUCAUUAGGGAGCUCCCCCCUUGCCCCCCAUGUAGGUGGGAUCCAACUAUGUCUGUCCCACACACACUCAUGCAUCUAGCAGGGAUGCAGCCAAAACAACCCCCUCCAUCUAGAUGGGACCCAGCCAGGAACUUUUCCCCCCGCCUACCUUGUUUCCAGCCAGCAGGUGACUCUUGGGUGACAUCUAGAGGUGGGAUUUGCAGUCCUGUGGGGCUGGGCAGGACAGGACUGCCUGGUCCAUGUAAUUGAAAGAAGACUCAGGAACUGCUCAUACCGUCUAUUUUAAAUAGAAAUGUGAUGAAGAACUACAUACCUAAUGUGUAACACAGGUCUGCCUAGCCAGGUGUUUCUUUGCUAUUAAAGAAGCAGAUGGUUCACAUGGCAUGUGGAGAAGCCUGUGUGAAGUGUAAAUCUUUAAAGUGAACCAGUGAAAAUGUUCUAAGCCCUAACUGUCUGUAAGGCGGUCGCGGCUUCCUCCCUGUCCAUCAGGAGGCUGUGCAGUCCCAGCUGUGCUUGAGCCUUAGGAACUGGGAUACCUACAGGCAGAUUUCUUGAGGCCGGUGAUCGGGACAUGCUGCAGUGCAGAGCGGAGAUAGAGGAGAUAAGGCAGGCGCACCAUAACGCGAGGGAGGUGAACUCCCAUUCAGGUGCUUCACCUAAGACUUGCUGGUUCUAUAAGGAGCAACCCCUCCUCCAUUAGCAAGAGCCCCAUGGACACUUCAGAGGGCCUGGGGCGGCAGAAAGAGGACCUAAGCCAGAGGAUGAAGUUAUUGAUGAAGAGUGGAGUUAGAUGAGGAUGUGCAGCUCCUGGCAGGGUCGCCCAGUGGGGCAGGAAACCCCUCCACUCCAGAGGUGUCUAGCUAGACUCAGCAGUGGCUCUCACAGAAGCAAGAAGCAGGAGAUGAGAUGCCUGAUGUGGCCUUCAGGGACACCCCACGCAUGCUGGCCGAGCGUCUCUGCCAGAUAAGAAAGCACCCAAGACACAGCAAAAAAGACGUGUUCCGGGAGGUCUGGCAGCGCUCCAAUGCAGAAAAAAGGGAACACAAGGAGUGCUGGGAAGCCAAAUGGCAGGACAGAAAAGAGAAUCACACCUUUAUUAAGGACGCAAUUGAGCAACUGAUUAAAGUAAUGGAGGAGCAAAUACAGAUGCUGAAGUCCUUAAUAAUGCUGCAGACUGAGGCCUUGCGUACACUCAGGGGAAAUUCGAUCUAAGCUACGCAAUUUGAGUUACGUGAAUAGUGUAACUCAAAUCGACAUAGCUUAGAUCUACUUACCAAGGGGUCUACACUACGUGAUUUCGACGGGAGACAUUCUCCUGUCGACUCCCCCUAUUCCUCUCGAUCCAGUGGAGUAUAGGAGUUGAUGGGAGAGCGAUCUGCGGUCAAUUUAGCGGGUCUUUACUAGAGCCACUAAAUUGACCGAUGAUGCAUCCCCGUAAGUGUAGACAAGCCCUGAGCAAAUCAGUGUUCGACCUCCACUGCAGCACAUUCAGAACCCUUUCUCAUGCCCCCCACAAAUUUCUUUCUGCUUUCCAGCACUUCUGUGUGUCCCAUUCACUCCACCCCCUCAGACAACUUUCACAAGGCUAGCUGGACCUACACACAGUUGUGAAAGUCAGCCCUUCCCUGGUUCCUCCUUUCCCGCCAAGCAUCUGUGUGUUUGUGUGUGCUGUUUCUUGUGCAAUAAAAGCAGAGUUUUAUAAUGGUAAAUCAUCUUUUUGUUUUUUUUCUACAAGGUGAGAUUGCAGGCACUACCAAUACAUGCACAGGCAUUUUAAUCACUUUCUUACUGGACUAUAAGGCCCCAAAUGUCACCAUUACCUUCUAGGAAAACCAAAUGUAAUGUAACAUUGGAGCAUCUCUGACAGAGAUAUGUUACUGAUGCUUAUUGUCCAAGUGCUGUCUCAAAGCCUCCCUGAUUAAAAUAGGCCCCUCUGGGCUCCUCUAACAGCCCUAGUAUCUAGCUGCUCAAAAUCAGCUGCCAACCAGUCUGCCUCAGCACUCCACCCCUGAGCAAACCUUUCACCCUUAGCUUCACAGAGAUUAUGCAAUGUACAGCAUGUGGCUAUGACCAUGGGAAUAUUAUCCUCAGUGAGGUCUAACCUGCUAUAAAGGCAUCGCCAAUGCACCUUUAAUUUGCCAAAGGCACAUUCAACCGUCAUCUGGCACCUACUGAACCUGUUGUUGAACUGCCCUUACUGCUGUCCAGGUGUCCCAUGUAAGGUUUCAUAAACCAAGGCUGUAAGGGGUAUGCAGGGUCCCCCAGGAUCACUAUGGGCAUUUUAACAUCCUCCACUGUGAUCUGGUUAGGAAAAAAAAGUCUUUGCCUGCAGCUUUCUGUAUAGGCAGGUGUUCCAGAAGAUGCUUGUCAUACACCUUCCUAGACCACCCCUUGUUGAUGUCAGUGAAACACCCAUGGUGAUCCACAAGAGUCUGCAACACCAUGGGGAAGUACCCCUUCCUAGUGAUGUGGUCUGGUGCCAAAAUGAAUGUGUGCAGAGCUGUCCACUAUUUCAUGCACAUUUCCCAGAGUCAGGGGCCUUCGUAGCAGGAUGCGAGUUAUUGCCCUGCACCCUUGCAUUAAUGCCGCCCCAACAGUUGACUUCCCCACUCCAAAUUGAUUCACGACCGACUGAGUAGCAGUCUGGAGUCAUUAGCUUCCACACACAGAUUGCCACAUGCUUCUCUAUUGAGAGGGCAGUUCUCAUUCUGGUGUCCUUGUGCUGCAGGGCUGGGGUGAGCUCCGCGCACAGUUCUCUGUGCAUUCACAGCUUUCUGCAUCCAAAAGUUCUGUACCCACUGGUUGUCGUCCCACAUCUGCAUGACGAUACGGUCUCACCAGUGCUUGUGUCCUGAGCCCAAAAGUGACGGUCUACCCUAUGUACCUGCUCUAUGAAUGCCAAAAGCAAUCUAAAGUUGCUCCUAUCCCUGUCACGCAGAAUGUUGGAUGCCUGCAAGUCUUCCUCAGUUAGGAACUUCACUGCUGUCCGCAAUGUCUUCAUGGCAGAUAACGGAGCAAGUGUGAACAUGCAGUUGCGACUUUUAUGAUGUCAAUUUUUGGGUGUUGACAUCACUUUUGUCAGCACAAAUUGGUAGUGUGGACAGAGCCUUAAUGACAGGCCAGCUUUCAGACCUAGCAGCAGAGGCUUAUAGGCCCAGUGCCCUCAAUCAAGGCAGGACAGAAAACAGUUCAUGGCCCUGGUCUGCGCUAAGGCAGAGCAACACAACAGUGUAGGGGGAAUCAGCUUCCUGGCAGAACAGUCAGCAAAACCAUCUGGUGUCCUAGUUCAAGUGGGCAAUAAACCAGUGAAGGCUUCUUGGCCUGAAGGUGGGGAGGCUGCCAGGGAUGGAGUGGCAGGGGGACGCAGACCCACCCACUCCACUGUGUCCCAGCCCAGGGCCCUAACAGUGGCGGAGUGGUCCUAUUCGGCUUUCCAGGGCUCCUUCCUACUCUCCCAGUCAGGGGGCAGUGGGGUUCUGGGGUUGUCAUUCAUCUCGCUGGGGUAAACGGCAAGUGGCAGCCCCAACAGCUCCUCAAUGUCCCCAGUGUCUGGCAGCUCUGGCAGUCCCUCCAGGCUCUGGCACUGUAGCAGCCUCCAUCAGGUCCAGGCUCCAGCAGUGCGGGUCAGACGUCCUGCUCCUCUAGCAGCUCUCCCCCAACUGAGCUGGAGGCCUGCCAUUUCCGGUCACUGUCCCGGCCCCCUGCUUCCAAUGGGGCGCCCGCGCAUGUCCCAGCUCUGCCCAUCAGGGGGCGGUCGUGGUCUCUCCUUGUCCAUCAGGGUUGGAGACCACACACCCUCUCACUACAACCCUUCCUCAAGUCCAGCCCCAACCCACUCUCCAGGGUUGGUAUGGUCCCCCUUCCCCAACCGGAAGAGACCAUCAGCAUUUGCAUUCUCCUUACCUGCCCUAUGUUGCAAGGUAAAUGCCAACUGUCAAAGGGGGAGGUACCACCUUAUUAGCCUCCCGUUAGUGCCUUUCAUGGUCUGGAGCUACUUCGUUGUUGUCACGGAUCAUACCCUUCCACACGGAGUCCCGCAGGAGGUAAUAUGAAAGGGCCUCCCCAGCCCAUUUAACUGCCAGGGCCGCCUCCUCGAUGAUCGAAUAGUUGCAUUCCCAGGGGAAGAGCUUUCAGCCAAUGUACAAGACGGGAUGGUCUUCUCUGUCGAGGGUCUGAGAGAGGAUGGCCCCAAGUCCCACUGCCACGGCAUC